GGACCAGCCGUUUUGAUCAUAGAGGACACCCAUCAGAUUUGGUCCUUCAUCUUCAAAAAAUGAAAAAACCCUAAGACCCUUUUUCAUCAUCUUCUUAACCAAAAACCAUAAUCUCCAUAACCACAUAAGCCGUUUACUGAUAAAACAGACGCUAGGAAUCAUCUUCUCCAACAAAAAAAAACAAACGCUAAUAACCCUAGAGACCAAGGAGCCAGCCUUGUUCAUGUUGAUCCAAAAACUUUCUUCUUCCUCUUCAACCUAAACAACAAAAGAACCUAGACACCCUAACAGAGAAUGCCAUAGACCUGAGGACAAGCAUCAGUCGUUCAACACUCACACAAAGAGCCUCACCACCACGCCCUUAACCAGCAACUACCUCGACGAUGCCCGACAAUCUCGCCGGAAAAUGAACCUACAGCCACACUCCAGCUGACCUAGCGGAAAAACGGAUAAGAAGAAGACAAAAAUAGGGAGACAACCUCACCCCUCCAAAUCCCUCUCGCUCUCUCGGCUUUUCUGUCUCACCUCUAUUGCCGACGAGCUUCACCGGAAAUUGGUUAGUUCAUCAUCUGUCAUUCUAGUCCGUCGAUUCCAACUGAGAUUCCACGCGUCGGUCUUUGUUCAUUUCCGUAUCUGUUCAUUUCCAACUGAGCCUGUGUUUUGUAAGUCAUUCGAAUAUAAACUAUUACACUACUUCUUUCACAAACAUGUUCAUAUUUGCUGUUGCGUUUUGGGAAUGUCCUAGUAAUAUUUGUUCACUCCAUUUUGUUUAGUUGAUUGUUAUUGGAAUGUUGGUUAGUUUAAUCUGUGAUUAGAGGGACUUAAUAGUUAAACUAAGUUUUUGUUUCUUUGUUGCAUUUCUUCAUCAAAGGAUAGGCUUCAGAAAUUAACACCUUGAUAAUGAAAGAAUUAAAUUAACAGAAUUAAGUAGAUUAGAUAAUUGUCUGGAUGCUUGAAAGUUCUUAGGCCAUGGGUUUGGACUAAAAGUUAAAAUGACGUAUAUUGAAUUGAGUUUGAAAAUGUUUUAUCAUUUCUUUUAUUCUAGAUUUUUUUAAUUAAAAUGCUAGGAGCAUGGUUUUAGGCCGACUACACAUGGGUAAGAAAACUUUUUGGUGUGUAAGUAAUCAUCACAGGUACGGGUAUCAUUUCUGUGACAUAGUUGUGAUAUAUAAUUUUCAAAUCUGGGAGCACAUUUUAUGUGACUCGGCCACAACUUCUAAUAAUAUUAAUAAAUUAAACGUGUUGUAGAUCAUGAGUACGGUUCCCGUGACAUGAUUCACAAUGUGUACAAAAAACAAAUGAGUGCGAGACAAUCGUGACUCGUUGAAAUAAUUUUCAUAUAUCCUAAAAGUGGUUAGAUGAAUAAUUAAAAACGGUCAAAGGUUAAAAAUUCACAAUAGGUAUAAAAAUAUGUAAUUAAUCAGAUAAAUAGGCCAAUAAUAAUAGUUGAGCAACCAUGCUAAACAACGAAAUCCGGGAAUGCCUAAAACCUUCUCCCGGAUUAACAGAAUUUCUUACCCGGAUUUCUGUGUUUGCAGGCCAUAAAUAAUAGUCAAACUUCCUCGAUUCAGGAUUUAAAACCAGUGACUUGGAACACCAUAAAUUAUCCCAAGUGGCGACUCUGCAUUUGAAUAAAUAAUUUCAUUUCGAUUAUUGUCACUUUAAUUGGAAAAACUCCCUUACACCCCUUUCUGGGUAGAAAAAUGAGGUGUGACAGCAGGCCUCUGAUCUCACAAUUGCGAGACCAAGCUUUGCAAUUGCGACCACUGUUGGGUUCGCAUUUGUGACCUACUCAUCGCAUUUGGGAAGAGUAGAUGUGGAGGCCAAUGAUCGUAAUUGCAAACAAUUACUCGCAAUUGCGAUGGGAACUAGGGAGGGGUGCUUUUCGCAUUUGCGAUCACAUGGUCGCAUUUGCGAUCUUGCCCAUAUUCGCAUUUGUGAACUAUACCUCACAUUUGCAAACAAUGUGUAAAUAAGAAGGGGUUCACAUUUGCGAAGCCCAGGUAGAAUUUGCGACAUUUGUAGUUGGGUAAAUGAGACUUAGACGGGAUUUUCUCACAUUUUUCAAAUUUUCAAAUCCUAGAACCCUAGAGUCGAUUCUUCCAAGACCAAUUCUUCCCCAAAACUUUGGUAAGUGAUCCUAACUCACUUUCUUUUAAUUUUCCGUCACAUUUCAUGAAUUUACAACCUAAAAUCUAGGAUUUCCAUGGUAGAAAUUGGGGGUUUGGGUAGAAAUAGAGAUUUUCGGAAAAUUGGGAUUUAGACCUCAAAUUGGGGUUGGAUUUCAAAACUAAUGACAUAAUCGGGAUCAGGGGUGAAUGGAUAAAUGAGUUUUGGUUCAAACCUUGAAUUUUGACCAAGCGGGCCCGGGGUCGAUUUUUGACUUUUUGGAGAAAAGUUUGGAAAAUCAAAAUUUGUGCAUUGUAAUUGAUUCCUUUAGCAAUAUUUGAUGUUAUUGAGUUAAUUGUGGCUAGAUAUGAGUGGUUUGGAGGUGGAUACUAGAGGAAAAGUGGUAAUUGAGCAUUAAGUGGCUUUUGGAGCGAGGUAAGUAUUCAGUCUAACCUUGACUCGAGGGAUUAGGAACUCUUGACUUAUUUGCUAUAUGAAAUUCAUGUGAGCGGCGUAUAUGUGAGGUGACGAGUACUUAUGUGCUGUCAAUUUAUCUAUUUUUGCCUGUUUCUUUCCGUUUUUCUCAUAUUGUCUCUUCCCAUGUCGUAACUAUUACAUGAUUUACUUGUAUUUCCAUGCUUAAUUGCUACUUGCUAAAUAUUUAUUCUCUUAGUUGAAGGUAUUAAUUAUUUCGUAGCUUCAUUGUCUCCUAUUAUUUGCUUAAGCUGGUUAUUGGUACUUUCAUGGUAUAUCCCGGAUUGGUCUCGCUGAGCAGUAUUACUUGUGUAAAAUUUCAUAGUGUACAAACUUCCUAAUUAUUUUGGUUUGAAGUUAAGCCUUUGGAAGGGUUAUGUGAUUUGAAUUGUGAAAUUUCUGUACGUACGGAACAACUAACAUUGAAUGUGAUUAUUUUGAUAUGGUGGGAUCGGGUUGCACGCUGCAAUACUUUUAUUUAUAUUCUGUUGUUUAUGUUAAUAAGAGGAAAUAAGAGAGGAAUUUGUUGUAGGAUUUAUCGACUAGGAGACCCAAGGUAGACCUGUCGGCGUCCGCAGACCCUAGCGUCCCCUUCUAUACCCCAUACUUUACUUCUUUCUUUAUUUCGCAAAUAGUUAUAUUUUCUUUCGAAUAAAUACUUGUAGUAAAAUCUUAGAAUGUUCGUGAAUUGUGACUCCGAUUUCUG
rnacentral:lncRNA from 1 species